GCUGGCGGCGUGCUUAACACAUGCAAGUCGAACGCGAAAGGGACUUCGGUCCUGAGUAAAGUGGCGCACGGGUGAGUAACGCGUAGAUAACCUGUCUUCAUGUCUGGAAUAAUACGCCGAAAGGGGUACUAAUACCGGAUAUUCUUGCUUUUCAUAAGUUAUGCAAGCAAAGGUGGCCUCUGCAUAUGCUACUGCAUGAAGAGGGGUCUGCGUACCAUUAGCUAGUAGGUGGGGUAAUGGCCUACCUAGGCGACGAUGGUUAGCGGGCCUGAGAGGAUGAUCCGCCACACUGGCACUGGAACACGGGCCAGACUCCUACGGGAGGCAGCAGUGAGGAAUAUUGCGCAAUGGGGGAAACCCUGACGCAGCGACGCCGCGUGAGUGAGGAAAGGCCUUCGGGUCGUAAAGCUCUGUCAAGAGGAAAGAAGUGUACAAUGGCUAAUACCUGUUGUAUUUGACGGUACCUCUAAAGGAAGCACCGGCUAACUCCGUGCCAGCAGCAGC
rnacentral:rRNA from 1 species